ensembl:lncRNA
AUGUGUCAAAGAUGCAGGUUGUUUGUGGCGGACAAUCCCUCUGGAUAUAUUUGUUAUUCACUUCUCUACAACUCUGGGGAAGGCUUUCUGUUUCUACCUCCUCUCCUCUGCCACCGCCGACACUUCACAUCGAUUCAAGGUCAACGUGCUUCACGGUUCUGGCUUGCCGGACACCAAUGGGCCACCGGGGGGGAUAAGUUCAUGUUGUACCGGGACAAAAAGGAGGUGGACUCUCAAGAGCUGUCCUCCAGCGCUGAGGAGUUUCGGUUCACCGUGAGAAUAAAUGAGGGCAACCAACUGUUCUGCUGUCUCUACAUGGAACAGGGUCGUACUUUCAGUCCUUUCAGUCCCUAUCUGCAUUUGGAAACCCCACAAGAUGCUGCCCGCACUUGCUCGUUACCUCCUCCGGUGUUGUCCGUGCAUCCCUCCACCGGUACAGCGGUAAAGCGUGGGGACACGCUGUCUUUCACAUGCUCGGCCCCCCGUCCCGUCCGGGUCUCACUCCCAGCCAAGCUACGACAAAAUAACGCUGACCUUCUUCUUGCUGGGGGGGCCCUGAGCGAACGGGGGCAACGUCUGUCGUCCUCAAGCCUCGAUCCAGUCGGGGAUCGAACCCUGAACCCCGGCCGGGGGUCUUCAGCGUGGGGCCGGUGA